GUGCUCGCUUCGGCAGCUCAUAAACUAACAUCGAAAUAAUACAGAAGAUUAUCAUGGCCCCUGCACAAGGAUGACACGCAAAUUUGUGAAGAGUUCCAUAUUUUU